rnacentral:lncRNA from 1 species
CUUUGAUGGUACGCAGUUUAAUUCAAUAGAUCAAAGCUACGUCUAGAUUUUAAAUAAAUGAUAGGGAUUUAAAAUUGUAUAUAAAAAACGUCAUUAUAUCUUGCUUUCUUUGGGUAUGUAUUCUUUAAUUGAGCAGGCAAAGAAUUUUAAGAGAAAAAUAUAAAAUGCAGCUAUAAUAUUAUUAAUCUGAUCUUGCUAUUUGAAAGAAUCUAGGUCAGUUAUGUUUUGAGCUAUUACUGUUGAAUCCUGUGCAUAUAAUCUUUUUUCUUCUCUUUUCUUUUCUUUAUUUCUUUUUAUUUUGAGAUCGAGUCUCUCUCUGUCUCCCAGGCUGGAGUGCAGAGGCGCGAUCUUGGCUCACUGCAACCUCCUCCUCCCGGGUUCAAGUGAUUCUCCUGCCUCAGCCUCCCGAGUAGCCGAGAAUACAGGAAGCUGAGCUAAGUGAGCAGCUGAAGAUGAAGGGAAGCCCAGAGGUUUUGCAGGUCACCAGAAAAGCCCUAAUUGAAGGAGACGCUGUGAGGAGAAAAUCCAGCCUGCUGAAAAGCCACAGGACACAUGAAGACGGUGAGGUGUUUGCUGGCUGGGUGGAAAGAGGCCUGCAGGCAGGGCCGGCCUACCUGUGAGUGGAUUCGAAGGCAGCGUCCCCCAGACGUGCGGCCAGGAACAGCACCUCAUUCCUGGGCACAGCGCUUGGUGAAGAUGCUGGACACCCCUUCAAAGGGCAGGCGCUGUGCUGGGCUCUGGGACUCGUGGGUGAACUGCACAGAGCUGGGCCCUGCCUUCAGGGAAAGAAGACAAUAAGCAAAACAUACCCAAAGAGAUGGUUACAAAGACAGCGAGCACCCGGAAGGAAAAUGGAAGCUGCCAGGAAAGGGGCUCCUGGGCCUACUCACCAGGAAGUCCAGUCCUCACCAGCCCGGAGGCCUGGUCUGCAUCCUCAGCCUCACAGAAGCUCAACCAGUCACUUAAAACGAGAUUGCAGUGAUGUUUUACAACUCUGUGAACGCACUAAUAGCCACUGAAUUCUACACUAACGUGUGCAUUUUAUGACAGGAGUGCUGCAUCUGGAUGGCAUGGCAGAGGGAAGCCCCAGCUGCCACUGCUCCAGGGACCCUUAUAGUUCCACGGUGAUGGGGAACAGAAAGAGGCUCUUCCAGGAAACAGCCUUGGGGACAAGGAGACCACACUUCUGGGUGAUUCGAAGAUCAGACAAGGCUCCUGUAAAAUGAACGAAUGAAGUGAAUGAAUGAGACGGAGUUGCACUGUUAGAGAUGGUGGCAGCAGUGUGAAUCAAAUGAAGUCCCUGCUCUCCCGGUUGUGGCCACGUUAGUCCAGCCCAGAAGAGUCUCCAGGGGCCCGAGCAUCUGUCCUCACAUCAGAACUAGCUUUGGGAUUGUGACUUUGGGGUUGCUUUGUUGGCUUCCUUUUCCUGUCAGGCAGCAUAUAGGGCUGGGGGCUGUCAACCGCACCCUCCCUGAAUCUACGUCCAUCACGAGUCCCCUUGCAGGGCCUUCUUUUUUUUUGACCCAGCGUCAGUCAUGUAACUUGCUUUGGCCAAGUGAUGUCAGCAAGUGGGAUACAAGCAGAGGUCUGAAAAGUGCUGGCAAACGGGGCUUGCUCGCUCGGCUCUGCCACAGUGUGAGAACGUGCCUCGACUCGCCUGCCGGUGGACAGCACACUUGGAACAGGACUGGUGUCGCCAGCUGCCCCAGCCGAGGCCACCCUAGACCAGCCAGCAGCCAGGACCAUGGCCCGGGCGAGUCCAGCCUGCAUCACUGGCUGCAGACUCGUGGGCUAAAUAAUUGCUCAUUGCUUCAAGUCACUGAGUUUCAGGGCAGUCCGUCCCAUAGCAUUAUUGUGGCAGUGGUCACUGAUGGGGCAGUAGGAGGGCUCCUGUCAGUACCAGGAGCUGUUGGCUCCUGUCAGAAAGGACCUAGUGGUAGCCAGUGUGGACCUGGAACAAGAGAGUGGGCCUUAAAACGAGGAUCUCCAGGCACCAUGUGGGGCUGAGCCUCAUAGGCAGCCAUUCCUGAAGCGCAGGAGGUGGUAGGAAAUUAGGAGGCAAAGGCAUGAGAUGCUAUGGCAGCUUCCCUGAGCGGGGACGAUGGGCACCACUCAUCGGUGGGCACCGCAGGGUGAGUCAGUUCCCGGCCCUGCUGCUUGAACUCAUCUCCCACAGGCACAGGCUGGCCGUGGGAGUCCGCGGGCCACGUGCAGUCUCCUCAUUCCCACCUCCUCCAGGUUUCCUUGCAGCCUCCACCUCCAGGGCUGAGUCAUGAGCUCAUGGCCCCAGGGAAGGAGAAGCUGGAAAGGCCUAGGACUUCAAGGUCACAGAGCUGUCAGCCCUCUGGGGAACUGCCUUGGUAGAACAGAGUAGCCACCUCACCCAAGGCAGCCCCCAGCCAGGGACGGAUCAGCUUGGGGGCGUAAACCUUGGUCCCCUCACCGCAGCUUGGUGCAGCCUGCAGGGCCACCCCAGCUCCGGGGCUCCUGAGACCAGCUUCUCCCUCGGGCCAUCCUGCCUGUCCCAUUCUGUCCCCUUCCAUCAGGGCUGACCCCCAGAGGACACCCUAACAAUUCCCUGCAGCCCAGGCUCCACCUCGGUGGGUAGCAGCUUCCCUGAAACCAGUGGUGCUUCUCAUUCAGUCCCUGCAGGCUGAGAAGCAGCCUGAAGGAUCUCCACUGCUUCCAGGCGAGGCCCCAGGGAUCUGCUGAGAAUCUGGCUGGUUGGCUUGCCAGGAAACAUCACUGUGAGUGUGAAGUGUCCCAGCCUUUGAGGGCCGCACGCCCACUGCCCAGGCAAGGGCUGAAUGGGAGCUUCAGAACUCAGGAGAUCACAGUGUGGGCGAGCCUAGGCUGCAGGACGGAGCCACAGCAAGGGUGACACAGGUUGCCAGUGCCCUGUGGAGGACACCACAGAACCCCACGGCAGCCCGGGCCUGCCGCGCCUGCACUGUCACCCACUUGGGGUGGAGCAUUCUUCUCUGCAACCAGCUAUAGGAAAUACAUAGUCUUAUAAUCUUUGUCCACCUGAGGAAUUACAGAUGGUCCCUGGCUCCUGGUGCCUCAAUUUAUGAUUUUUUGACUUUAUGAUGGUUUGAAAUAUUGGCAGUUUUGAUGAAUGUACAGUAUUCAAUAUAUCAUGUGAGGUAUUCAACAUUUUAUGAUAAAAUGGGCUUCGUGUGGCAUGAUUUUGCCCAAUUGUAGGCUAACCUGAGUGUUCUGAGCAUGUUUAAGGUCCACUAGGCUAAGCUAGGAUGUUCGGUAGCUUAGGUGUGUCAAAUGCAUUUUCAACUUACGAUAUUUUCAACUUGGAAUGGGUUUACCUGGAUGCAACCCCCAUGUAACUCGAGGAGCACCUGUAUGCGUCAAUUGCCUUCACCCUCUAACAGGGUGGGUGUGAGGGCUGCCAUGUCAGAGAAAGCAGGCCUGGAAUGGCGGUCAGAAGAGGAUUCUGGAAAUUCUGAGGUUUCCUAACAAGGCCCCAGUCAUGGCAGGAGGCUCUGAGGGCUCCACUGGGGCCGGAGAGGCUGCUUCCAGGCUCUCUCUGGCGUCCCUUGCUGGGGCUCCAGGCCUUCUCCAGCUGCUGGUGGCAGACCUGGAUCACAGGGCUGCUCAGUACAAGGCAGCUGGCUUUUCCCAGAGCAAGGGCUCUGAAGGGGAGGGAACAAGAGAAGGCGGGCAAGGUGGGGGGCACAGGCGUUUUGUAGCCAAAUAAUCUUGGAAGGGACAGCCCAUUACCUUUGCCAGAUUCUACUUAGUUGAAGCCAGUCCCUAGGUGACAGGAAUCACGAAGGCCAUUGGAGAGGCUGCCUGCCCUACGGGAUUGCAGAGGGGACGAGGCCCAGCAAAGUCUGUGGAGCUGGAGGAUGCCACGCCCAUUCAGGACGAAAUGCAGAAGGACGCUGCAGAGCCUGCUUCUCUGUUCCUUCGCCUCACUGGGGCAGACCAGCUGCGGCCAGCCUGUGCCCACUCCUCGCGGACCUGGGUACUGCUUCCAGAGAUCCUUCAGUCCUGGGAGUUUAAUCAUUCUGUCCCGGCCUCUUUGCUCCCAGCCCUCCCCUGGCAGUUGCUGCUCUAUUGUUCUAGCUCAGUUUUCACUUUUUGCCCUUGCAAUGCACAAGGGUUAGCAAUUCUUGAUGGUACAGUCUCUCUGUUCGAAGAGCUGGGGUGGUUUCUACUUCUAGCUGGACCCUGAGUGAUCCUUCAGGCAGGGGUCUCUGCGACUGGAGACAUGCUGUGUGCAUGAGGUCCCAUGUACACUCAGAUUGCAUCCCCCAUCCCUGCCCAGCCCUGAGAGGCAGGCGAGACAGUCCCCCUCUCACCAUCUCUGGGGUGGGCCUGGAUUUAUUGGCUGAAGAAUUACACCCUCUUUGAUGGUAUGCAGUUUAAUUCCGUAGAUCAAAGCUAUGUCUAGAUUUUAAAUAAAUGAUAGGGAUUUAAAAUUGUAUAUAAAACACAGUCAUUGUAUCUUGCUUUCUUUGGGUAUGUAUUCUUUCUUUAAUUGAGCAGGCAAAGAAUUUUAAGAGAAAAAUAUAAAAUGCAGCUAUAGUAUUAUUAAUCUGAUCUUGCUAUUUGAAAGAAUCUAGGUCAGUUAUGUUUUGAGCUAUUACUGUUGAGUCCUGUGCAUUGAUUAUAUAAUCUUUUAUUAUUAUUAUUAUACUUUAAGUUCUAGGGUACAUGUGCACAGUGUGCAGGUUUGUUACAUAUGUAUACAUGUGCCAUGUUGGUGUGCUGCACCCAUUAACUCGCCAUUUACAUUAGGUAUAUCUCCUAAUGCUACCCCUCCCCCCACCCCAUGACAGGCCCCGGUGUGUGAUGUUCCCCACUCUGUGUCCAAGUGUUCUCAUUGUUCAAUUCCCAUUCCCACCUAUGAGUGAGAACAUGUGGUGUUUGGUUUUCUGUCCUUGUGAUACGUUGCUGAGAAUGAUGGUUUCCAGCUUCAUCCAUGUCCCUACAAAGGACAUGAACUCAUCCUUUUUUAUGGCUGCAAAGUAUUCCAUGGUGUAUAUAUGCCACGU